rfam:Leucoagaricus sp. SymC.cos contig9864, whole genome shotgun sequence.
AAUAAGGACCUUUUUUCUUAAAGGUCCACACAUAGUUAAUUUAACAACAAAU